GCCGUUUAUUUAAAAAGCAUUACAAUGAAGAAGUAGUUGUGUUAAAGGUAUCAAAAUGCAAAACUACACCCCACGACCUUGGAUUCCAACUUGUCCCUGAUUGCAGAAACUCUUUAAUUUGAGUUUCCAUUCAUUUAACUUGUUUCUCUCAGCCUUUUGUAAAUUAAAAGUUCUUUUUUGUCACAUUUGUGUACGUUUUAGAAAUAAAAAUUAUUAGAAAUGCAUUGAGUGGUAUGUUUGUAUAAAAAGGGAGUUUUUUUACUGGUGGUUGUCAAUAUCGCUUUUGCAGAGAUCGUGAGUUUUUGUAGUGUAAGGAGCAUUUUUUCCUGGAUAUUUUUUCCCACCUCCUCUCUUUAUCCCCGAAGAAAAUGAAGAUAAUCGUGUUUCUCAUUGUAUUGUUGGCUCUUAUUGCUGCUGUUCUAGCAGGUGCAAAGUCUUGGCACUAUCCAUAUCAUUCCCAUUACCCAUAUUACCCUUACUAUUGGCCUUAUUAUGGAAAAUAUCCUUACUACUAUAGUUGGCCUUAUUAUUAUGGAAAGUAUUGGUGGUGAAGAAAGGAAGAAUAUUAACUGAAGAUUAUGUGAUACUGGAAUCAAGUUUUGAAUUCGACCGACCUUCGAGAAAACUUCAAAAUAAAUUCGACCAAAAACAAUUAGAAAAUUGUCUUCUACUCUGCUCAUUUGUAACUAAUCAUUUUGAUACAGUUUAAAUAAAAUUGUUUUGUAAGUAACUCA